GGCUCUCAUGGGAUUACUUGAAGGACUUUCGAUUAUGCAGGGAAAGCCUUUUUCAGAAGUAUGGAUAUCUCCUUGGAGCUCACUUUCCUUAUAUCCCUGGACAGUAUAAACCCGGUUCAGGUUCUACCAGCCCAGAUGUCUUCAUUCCAAAGAGAAGAAUGCUUUUACUAGAGGGAUUGGACAAGUAUUUCACUGAACUGGAGGUUGGGGUGGCUGCUCGGGCACUUUGGGCUCCACAUACCUGUGAAUCAAUACAAAGAAGGAGAUGACUCCGACUGCUGUACCUCCCCUUAGAAGAAAAAAAUUCCAAAUCCAGACCAAACCAACAGAUCAACCCACAGAAAGAACAAAGAAAGGAAGAACAAAGACCAAUAUAAACUAUAAAGAUUGAUAUUUGAAUGCUGCCUACUUACCAAAAGAUUUGAUUCUUCUGAUAUACUUACUUAAAUCAUCCUACAGUAGUUAAGUGUUCAGUGUGCAUAAAGAAUCACCAUUCAGCUUUCAUCUAUUGUAACCAGUUGAACUCCCAUCAUUUUGUAAUCUCUCUCUGCCUUACAUAUUCCAGAUACAUAUUUGUUUUACAACUAGAACCAUAUUAUAAUAUAUUCUUUAGAGGAUGAGUAUAAAUACCAGAAAUUCCCAUAUAUACAGGCUCCUAGAGAAAGAAGUAAGCCUUUCCUGUUGAAGAUCAGUUUAUCUUUGUUUUGAAUGUUUAAAAGUAUAAGAGAAACAUGUCUGAAAUUCUUGCUGAGGGCCUGGGGUUAUAAAUUAUACUAUGUCUUUUUUUCUGGCUUAGAAGAACUGUGGUAAAUGGAGUGAAUUCUGAGGUCAGCAUGAGCUCUGAAGUCAGGAACAUCUGAAUUCCAGCUUCCCUGCUUUGUCAUGUUGUCUUGAGCAAGCCUCAGUUGCCUCCUCUGUAAACGGAAUAUAUUUCCCGGUGUUCAAGGCAUGAUGGAUGGAGGUCGAUUUAUCUUGCAGCAGUGGGGAAAAGCCAAGAGAAUCACAAAUAUUUCAGCCCAGACUUCCAACUUGUCAUUGUUUCUUUGAUGAGGAUAAAAAAGUGAAAUCUGCUUAUAGGUAAAAUGUGCAGUAUAUUAAACCAGGAAUGGUGGUGGACACCUGUAAUCCAAGAACUCUGAGAAGCUGAGGUUUGAGCUCGGCUGGGCAACUUAGU